UAUUACCAUUCUCAUAUUGCAAACUCAAGUAGGCAGUUAUGUAGCCCCCGCCCAAAUUCGUGAACCCAAAACAAAACCCACAAGAUCUCAUCAACAGUUUUUACCUCACAGCUGACACUUAUAAAUGAGUUCCAAGUGCUUCCGCCAACUCCUCCUACCAGCAACUGUGAAAACAACGGCCACAAGGAGUAAUGCUGCUUUUCACACAGAAAGGGCUUCUACUGUGCCUGACCUUAAGACAGGAAAAGUAGGGGAGCUAAGGAAGCUACCUACACCGCCCUCACCCCCAGUAGCCAGGCUCAGGAAGGAAGAGGCACAGCGGUGUGAAUGGAUGGAGAAGAGGAGGCCGGUAGGCUGAGCCCCUGGCUCCUGGAACGAACACACAGCCAUGGCAGAGGAGAAUGUGGCUUGAAUAGGUUCCAUGACUUGUACAAGACCACAGCUGGUACAUGAUGAAGCAAGGACAAGACACGGGCAUCUGACCUCAAGAGUUUCUCCAAUCAUGAAAUACCUAAACUCUGCAAGUCAGAAGAGAGUGGGGGCCAAUAUUCAACAUUCUUAAAGAAAGGAAUUUUCAACCCAGAAUUUCAUAUCCAGCCAAACUAAGCUUCAAAAAUGAAGGAGAAAUAAAAUCCUUUACAGACAAGCAAAUGCUGAGAGAUUUUGUCGCCACCAGGCCCACCCUACAAGAGUUCCUGAAGGAAGCACUAAACAUGGAGAGGAAUAACUGGUACCAGCCACUGCAAAAACAUGCCAAUUGUAAAGAGCAUUGAGGCUAGGAAGAAACUGCAUCAACUAAUGAGCAAAAUAACCAGCUAACAUCAUAAUGACAUGAUCAAAUUCACACAUAACAAUAUUAACCUUAAGUGUAAAAGGGCUAAAUUCUCCAAUUAAAAGAUGCAGACUGGCAAAUUGGAUAAAGAGUCAAGACCGAUCAGUGUGCUGUAUUCAGGAAACCCAUCUCAUGUGCAGAGACACACAUAGGCUCAAAAUAAAGGGAUGGAGGAAGACCUACCAAGCAAAUGGAAAACAAAAAAAGGCAGGGGUUGCAAUCCUAGUCUCUGAUAAAACAGACUUUAAACCAACAAAGAUCAAGAGAGACAAAGAAGGCCAUUACAUAAUGGUAAAGGGAUCAAUUCAACAAGAAGAGCUAACUAUCCUAAAUAUAUAUGCACCCAAUACAGGAGCACCCAGAUUCAUAAAGCAAGUCCUUAGAUACUUACAAAGAGACUUAGACUCCCACACAAUAAUAAUGGAAGACUUUAACACCCCACUGUCAACAUUAGACAGAUCAAUGAGACAGAAAGUUAAAAAGUAUAUCCAGGAAAAUCCCUUGAUCUUAUGUGCAACAUCCACAAGCAUGUAGCUAACACCAGAUAGGACAGGACAGGAAUCCAAAGACAGAACCAAGAUAAGACAAAAAAGUGGAAGAGCCAGUGUUUGGGGAGAGGGUCAAGUUUAUUUUUACCUUUUUUUUUUUUUUUUUUAAUUAACUGAGAAUCAACAAAAUCAGUGAGUGUUCACACAGCAUAAUUCUGUCCGGGAAAGAGGAGUUGACACAGCAUUCCUCUGUAAACUGGAGAAUUUCUCCAUGACUCCUAUCUGCUCCCCAGUUUCUCUUCUCCAUGAGGAAUAAACACCAUGUACAAUCUGAAACCUGGUAAGGGACUGAUCCUUGAAGUGUCAUCCUGAAUUUGAAUUAAACCUAAGUCUAGUUUCCUUUUGAGAUCUCCUGAUGAGUUAAACCUUUACACAAGAGCUACCUAGUCGGAUGAUUUUUUUCUCACCUGAGCUAUUGUGGAUAAUUGCUCUGCUUCCUUGUUCAACAAAAUAUAAGGUAAAUCAUUACCACUCACAACCCGAAGAGAUUUAUGCCAUCGUCUAACAGAAGAGCACAGUGUGCACGUUUCUUUUCUAAGAAAAUAAAGUUGACCUCAAUGCAACGAAGUGGAGUUUGAUUUUCAUAAUUAUAAGUCAUAACUCAAAAUUCAAAUUUUUUUGAAUCAGCAUUUUUGCCCUAGGAGAAAUUUUGGAUUCAGGUAUAUAGUAUACGUUACCUUUUUAAUUAAAGAAAGAAGGAAAUAUGUAUAUGUGUUGGAAUAUAUAUAUAUAGCAACAUAUAUGUUACUUUUUUAAUUAAAGAAAGAAGGAAAUAUAUAUAUAUACACACAUACAUAUACAAUAUAUAUGUAAUUGUAAUUCUUCUUUUUUCAUAGCUUUAAAUGCAUUAAUUGCAAAAUUCUAUCCUGGAUUAUCAACUGGAUCUGCAGCAAACACAUGGUGGUGUGUAGAGAUGUUCUUUGAAGAUUUAAUUCAUCACUAUUAAUAAAAAUGUUUAACCUUUACAGAGUGCUUACUAUGAGCCAGGCACCAUGCUAAACACUCUACAUAGAUUAUCCCAUGUAAUUCCCCCCACUAUUCUUCCCAUCAACUAUUAUCCCCACUUUGCAGAAGAAGAGAUUGAGGCAUACAGCAGUUCCCAAAUUUGGUCAAAGGUGGAGCAGGCAUUUGGAAUCAGGACUGUCUUAUUCCAGUGUUUACUCUGAAUCAUCAUGCACUUAUCAUUAAACUUGAGACUUUAAAAA